rnacentral:rRNA from 1 species
UGCCAGCCGCCGCGGUAAUACGGAGGGUGCAAGCGUUGUUCGGAAUUAUUGGGCGUAAAGCGCGUGUAGGCGGUUCGGCAAGUCGGAUGUGAAAGCCCGGGGCUCAACCCCGGAAAUGCAUUCGAUACUGCCGAGCUAGAGUCCCGGAGAGGAUGGCGGAAUUCCCGGUGUAGAGGUGAAAUUCGUAGAUAUCAGGAGGAACACCGAUGGCGAAGGCAUCUCUCUGGGUCGAUAUUGACGCUGAGGCGCGAAGGCGUGGGUAGCGAACGGGAUUAGAUA